rnacentral:rRNA from 1 species
AUUGAACGCUAGCGGGAUGCUUUACACAUGCAAGUCGAACGGCAGCGCGGACUUCGGUCUGGCGGCGAGUGGCGAACGGGUGAGUAAUGUAUCGGAACGUGCCCAGUAGCGGGGGAUAACUACGCGAAGGCGUAGCUAAUACCGCAUACGCCCUACGGGGGAAAGCAGGGGAUCGUAAGACCUUGCACUAUUGGAGCGGCCGAUAUCGGAUUAGCUAGUUGGUGAGGUAACGGCUCACCAAGGCGACGAUCCGUAGCUGGUUUGAGAGGACGACCAGCCACACUGGGACUGAGACACGGCCCAGACUCCUACGGGAGGCAGCAGUGGGGAAUUUUGGACAAUGGGGGCAACCCUGAUCCAGCCAUCCCGCGUGUGCGAUGAAGGCCUUCGGGUUGUAAAGCACUUUUGGCAGGAAAGAAACGUCGCGGGCUAAUACCCCGUGGAACUGACGGUACCUGCAGAAUAAGCACCGGCUAACUACGUG